ACAAGAAAUUAAGCCCUGAUCUGUAGUCUUUGUCAAUUCUGAGGUGGAAAUGCUCACAGUCAAAAUUUAAUAAUUUUUGAGCUGGCUCCAGCACAUCCUUACAGUGAGGUUGAACUCUGGUCACAAGACUGAGCUCGGACCAGAACCCAGGUUUCCUGGCUCUGGCUAGAGCUCUUUCCCAUUUUGGGAAAAUGUUUGAACAUUUACCAAAUCUGGGAAGCAGAAUUAGACUUGUACCAGAAGGAGACAGAUGUAAGAGAGAACUGAGAAGACUUAGCAACUUAUUGGAUGUGUAGGGUGAGGGGGAAAUGGAAUAUGACACGGAGGUUGGGAAGGAUAGUAGUGACCUUAACAAAGAGGCAAGUCUGGAAGAAUUUCCAGGGUUCUGCUCUGCUUUCAAAAUAGAUGAGAACUGUGGCAGGCACCAGACAGAUAAGGAAUAUCUCAGUCUCAGAAGAGUGUAAAUUAAAAGUGACACAAAGGGCUAAUAGGUUGAAGCAUAGUACCCACAACGACUUGGGCACAAGCGGUAGUACAAAAUACAUCAUCAAUGACUUGCAUGUCUGGCAAAGAAAUCGGAUUGACCGUGUAGGAACAGUAGGAGAUGGAUCAGCCAGCGCACCAGUGCCAACUAUAAAAUUAUUAAAAAGACCCAAAGGAAGAACUCCAGUACAUUGAAUGGAUACUUUUUUGGAAGACUUAUCGAAGGACAAGGUGGGGGAUGGAAUUACAUAUGAUAAAGAGUCACAAAUAGGCUGUGAUACAUACUCAUAUUGAUGAGAUUACAGAUCUGUGAAAAUAACAAAUGAGUGAAAUAAUGGGUGAACAAAUGAAGUGAAGAAAUGAAUAAAGAAAUACUGAUUUGAUGAGUGAUGGAAUAAGAGAGUCACUGAAUAAUUGAAUGAGUGUCUUAAUGAAUGAAACAGUGACAGCAUCAUUGAAUGAACAAUAAAUGCUUAUGGAAUUGAA